CUUCAGCGACCCCACCAGCAGGGGCUGGUCCGCCGGGCGGCCCUGACCGUAGGUGGCGAGCAGUGCCUGUGCCUC
rnacentral:antisense_RNA from 1 species